rnacentral:rRNA from 1 species
CUACGGGAGGCUCCAGUGGGGAAUAUUGGACAAUGGGGGCAACUCUGAUGCAGCAACGCCGCGUGGAGGAUGACACUUUUCGGAGCGUAAACUCCUUUUAUAUAGGAAGAAGAUGACGGUACUAUAUGAAUAAGCGCCGGCUAACUCCGUGCCAGCAGCCGCGGUAAUACGGAGGGCGCAAGCGUUACUCGGAAUCACUGGGCGUAAAGAGCGUGUAGGCGGAUUAAAAAGUCAGAAGUGAAAUCCUAUAGCUUAACUAUAGAACUGCUUCUGAAACUCUUAAUCUAGAAUAUGGGAGAGGUAGAUGGAAUUUCUGGUGUAGGGGUAAAAUCCGUAGAGAUCAGAAGGAAUACCGAUUGCGAAGGCGAUCUACUAGAACAUUAUUGACGCUGAGACGCGAAAGCGUGGGGAGCAAACAGGAUUAGAUACCCUGGUAGUC